UUGACCUCGAAUCAUGUAGGACUACCCGCU
rnacentral:rRNA from 1 species